UUUUUCUUUGAUACGAAAGCUUCCUAUUCACUGCACCAUUCUUUAAUCAAUGAGUGACUGGAGGGGAAAAGGAAAGCGAGAAAGAAACAUCGAAUAACGUCCUCAUACUAAGUUUGCUUGUAUUUUGUAGCAUAUUUGGAUUCUGCGUUUUCGAAACAUGC
rnacentral:snoRNA from 1 species